rnacentral:rRNA from 1 species
AGGACGAACGCUGGCGGCAUGCCUAAUACAUGCAAGUCGAGCGGAAUGAUGAGAGCUUGCUCUCUGAUUUUAGCGGCGGACGGGUGAGUAACACGUGGGCAACCUGCCCUACAGAUGGGGAUAACUCCGGGAAACCGGGCUAAUACCGAAUAAUCAGUUUGUCCGCAUGGACAAACUCUGAAAGACGGUUUCGGCUGUCACUGUAGGAUGGGCCCGCGGCGCAUUAGCUAGUUGGUGGGGUAAUGGCCUACCAAGGCAACGAUGCGUA